rnacentral:rRNA from 1 species
GGUGAUCGGGUGAGCGGCGGAGGGUUAGUAACGCGUGGGAACGUACCUUUUGGUAAGGAAUAGCCACUGGAAACGGUGAGUAAUACCUUAUACGCCCUUCGGGGGAAAGAUUUAUCGCCGAGAGAUCGGCCCGCGUUAGAUUAGGUAGUUGGUGGGGUAACGGCCUACCAAGCCUACGAUCUAUAGCUGGUUUUAGAGGAUGAUCAGCAACACUGGGACUGAGACACGGCCCAGACUCCUACGGGAGGCAACAGUGGGGAAUCUUGGACAAUGGGCGCAAGCCUGAUCCAGCCAUGCCGCGUGAGUGAUGAAGGCCCUAAGGUCGUAAAGCUCUUUCGCCAGGGAUGAUAAUGACAGUACCUGGUAAAGAAACCCCGGCUAACUCCGUGCCAGCAGCCGCGGUAAUACGGAGGGGGUUAGCGUUGUUCGGAAUUACUGGGCGUAAAGCGUACGUAGGCGGACUAUUAAGUCAGGGGUGAAAUCCCGGGGCUCAACCCCGGAACUGCCUUUGAUACUGGUAGUCUAGAGUUCGAGAGAGGUGAGUGGAAUUCCGAGUGUAGAGGUGAAAUUCGUAGAUAUUCGGAGGAACACCAGUGGCGAAGGCGGCUCACUGGCUCGAUACUGACGCUGUGGUACGAAAGUGUGGGGA